rnacentral:rRNA from 1 species
GNAGGNCACAAGCGUNGUCCGGAAUCACUGGGUGUAAAGGGAGCGCNGGCGGGAGAACAAGUNGGAAGUGAAAUCCAUGGGCUCAACCCAUGAACNGCUUUCAAAACUGUUUUUCUNGAGUAGUGCAGAGGUAGGCGGAAUUCCCGGUGUAGCGGUGGAAUGCGUAGAUAUCGGGAGGAACACCAGUGGCGAAGGCGGCCUACUGGGCACCAACUGACGCUGAGGCUCGAAAGUGUGGGUAGCAAACAGGAUUAGAUACCCUGGUAGUCCACGCCGUAAACGAUGACUGCUAGGUGUCGGGUGGCAAAGCCAUUCGGUGCCGCAGCAAACGCAAUAAGUAGUCCACCUGGGGAGU